UACGUAGGGUGCGAGCGUUAAUCGGAAUUACUGGGCGUAAAGCGUGCGCAGGCGGUUUUGUAAGACAGGCGUGAAAUCCCCGGGCUCAACCUGGGAAUGGCGCUUGUGACUGCAAAGCUGGAGUGCGGCAGAGGGGGAUGGAAUUCCGCGGUGUAGCAGUGAAAUGCGUAGAUAUGCGGAGGAACACCGAUGGCGAAGGCAAUCCCCUGGGCCUGCACUGACGCUCCAUGCACGAAAGCGUGGGGAGCAAAC
rnacentral:rRNA from 1 species